UCCACCAUGAAAGUAUUUAUGGGUCUGUAGCUCAGGUGGUUAGAGCGCACCCCUGAUAAGGGUGAGGUCGGUGG
rnacentral:tRNA from 1 species